CACGUAGGGGGCAAGCGUUGUCCGGAUUUAUUGGGCGUAAAGAGCUCGUAGGUGGCUUAGUAAGUCGGGUGUGAAACCUCCAGGCUCAACCUGGAGACGCCACCCGAUACUGCUAUAGCUUGAGUCCGGUAGGGGAGCGUGGAAUUCCUGGUGUAGCGGUGAAAUGCGCAGAUAUCAGGAGGAACACCAGCGGCGAAGGCGGCGCUCUGGGCCGGUACUGACACUGAGGAGCGAAAGCGUGGGGAGCAAACAGG
rnacentral:rRNA from 1 species